AUUGGCUAAAAAGAGAAACGCACCAGGCAAAAAGAGGAGGAGAGGAGAAUCGCGAGUGUGGGACCCGCAUUCUAAAGGCGAGAACCAGCGGGGCGGACCGCCGCCUGAUGACGAUUUGAUCAUAUCUUCGGCUUCAUCAAAGUAAUCUUUCAAGCUCUUUCCGUUACCUUCACUCUCCUCCUCCGAAUAUUCUCUCACGUUAACUCUCUGUUUCGUCUCAGCUUCAUCUUCUACUAACUCGCUACUCUUCUUCUCCACAAAUAUCCUCGUCGGCGUCGUUUCCGUCAUCACUGUCGUCGUUGCAGCUGAUGUCCGCUCCGUUGACACCGCUACUCGCUUCAAUAUAGGAUUCCGUUUCGGCUUCUCGGACGACGACGUAAUUUGUCGACGAAAAACCGGCGAGGAAACGGCCGAAAAGAUGCAAGCUCCGACCGUCGCCAUCUAGAACCAAAGUAAGAAUUUCUCUCUCCCUCUGUUUGUUUUGUGGCGCUUUUGUGACUUGUGAUGUUAUGUAAGGUUCUUGGAAUGUUUUUCCAUCUUUAGUAAACAGAUUUGAUCUAAUAUAAUUUAAAAGUCAAUUUAUUGUGAAUGAACGGAAUAUAUGAUUAAAAUAAUAUAAAUGAACAACAGAACAAGGAGGGGAAAGUGCGAAAACGAGUGUAUUUUUC
rnacentral:lncRNA from 1 species